GCGAAAUUCCUUGUCGGGUAAGUUCCGACCUGCACGAAUGGCGUAACGACUUCCCAGCUGUCUCAACCGCGAACUCGGCGAAAUUGCACUACGAGUAAAGAUGCUCGUUACGCGCAGAAGGACGGAAAGACCCCGUGACCUUUACUACAGCUUGGUAUUGGUGUUCGGUGUGGCUUGUGUAGGAUAGGUGGGAGACUGUGAAGCUUGGACGCUAGUUCAGGUGGAGUCAACGUUGAAAUACCACUCUGGUCGAAUUGGAUGUCUAACCUCGGUCCGUGAUCCGGAUCAGGGACAGUGUCAGGUGGGUAGUUUAACUGGGGCGGUUGCCUCCCAAAAUGUAACGGAGGCGCCCAAAGGUUCCCUCAGCCUGGUUGGCAAUCAGGUGUCGAGUGCAAGUGCACAAGGGAGCUUGACUGUGAGACUGACAGGUCGAGCAGGGACGAAAGUCGGAACUAGUGAUCCGGCGGUGGCUUGUGGAAGCGCCGUCGCUCAACGGAUAAAAGGUACCCCGGGGAUAACAGGCUGAUCUUGCCCAAGAGUCCAUAUCGACGGCAUGGUUUGGCACCUCGAUGUCGGCUCGUCGCAUCCUGGGGCUGGAGUAGGUCCCAAGGGUUGGGCUGUUCGCCCAUUAAAGCGGUACGCGAGCUGGGUUUAGAACGUCGUGAGACAGUUCGGUCCCUAUCCGCUGCGCGCGCAGGAAACUUGAGAAGGGCUGUCCCUAGUACGAGAGGACCGGGAUGGACGAACCUCUGGUGUGUCAGUUGUUCCGCCAGGAGCACCGCUGAUUAGCUACGUUCGGAACGGAUAACCGCUGAAAGCAUCUAAGCGGGAAGCCGGCUUCAAGAUGAGAUUUCCAUGACUUAGGUCGAGAGGCUCCCAGCUAGACUACUGGGUUGAUAGGCGGGAUGUGGAAGUGCGGACUAACGACGCAUGGAGCUGACCCGUACUAAUAAGCCGAUAACUUGAUAAC
rnacentral:rRNA from 1 species